UAUUUAAAUGCCAUUGUCCUGAUUGAUAAGUUCUUACCUCCGGUUGCCCAUUUAUUUUUGCAAAAAAACCAACAAUGUCAACGUCCUUUACAGCCCCCUACAACUAAAUGACGGAAAAAACCCCGAUACAAUUAAUAUUUUAUUUCCGCGGAAACCCCCAAGCAAAACGGUAAUGUAAUAAUAUUUAUUCUAAACACAAAAUAGGAGUUAUUUAAAUGAAGUGACUGUAUUAUAAUAAUGAAGAAAAUGGUGGCGUUUCUAAGGUAAUACUAAUGAUUAAAAUGAAUACUGGGAAUUUUACAUUGAUUUUAUAGCGUUGCUUUACACUUGCUUACCUCUCAGCAUUAACUAAAGUAAGCAUCCCCGACUGAGACAGUUGAGGCGAUGACGUAGCAUUAUUCAUUAUAGCGCGAGAUAACAAUUGCAGGGUGUUGCAUCUCCCGUACACUUAAACUUACCGAGGGCCAGGAUUUUGAAUGAAUUUUUUUGUUAAUCAUUAUUAUUAUUCAUGCUACACGUUACUUUCAAUGUGUAACCGAAUGCCAGAUGCUACCGUCCUACAAAACACUACAAAUAUGCUGUGAUAUGCUGUGUCUUCAGUGUCCUGCAUUGCCGCCUUCCUGUAUUAUAUUUCAUUAAUAGUUGUCGACCAUCGCGGCCUAGCGCAUUGCGAAGCCUGGAACUGAAUUUCGGCCUUCUACGGGGUCUAGCACGUCCUCGGCGGCAUGUACUCACGUUUUAACUAGCUUCAGUCAUUCGAGCACAUCUCCACUCUGGCACGCACUUGCCGAUUCUUCCUGAGCAACAUCCGAAGAAUCCGACCCUUCCUCACCAACUACGCCACCCAGCUCCUGGUCCAGGUCUUGGUACUCUCCCGCCUAGACUACUGCAACUCCCUCCUGGCUGGCCUCCCUGCGUCCGCCACUCGUCCGCUCCAGCUCAUCCAGAACUCCACUGCCCGCCUGGUGUUCUCUCUGCCUCGCUUCUCCCAUGCAACUCCACUACUCCGCUCACUCCACUGGCUCCCGAUCACUGCUCGCAUCCAGUUCAAGACUCUUGUACUAGCCUACAGAUGCCUUGACCAGACUGCACCCAGCUACCUCCAGACCCUCAUCUCUCCCUACACCCCCACUUGACCUCUCCACUCCGCCUGCACUAGAAGACUGGCUCUACCUCCUCUACGCUCCCCUGCCUCCAGAGCCCACUCCUUCUCCACCCUCGCGCCGCAGUGGUGGAAUGACCUUCCUACAGAUGUCAGGAUUGCCCAGUCCCUGACCACAUUCCGACGUCUCCUUAAGACUCACCUCUUCAGACAGCACCUGUAGAACUCCUCUGUUUUUCCCCUGGGACACUUAUCACCCUUCCUUAAAUGUGCUUUACUUGCUCUUAUCUGCCCCCUAUUUUACUGCAUUUAAUCCUGUACUUCAGAGUACUGUAAUCUGCCAAGUGUUUAAUCUGUAGUAUUUUGUAUUUAAUCAUAUCCUGAUGUAACUAUCACUGACAUCUGCUGUAUUAUUGAAUUGUAUUUUGUCACACUUGUACUUGCUUGAACCAAAGUCAUUGUUUUUAUCUUGCUCGUAAUUGUAUUAUUACUUGUACUGUGAUACUUGAAAUGUAUUUGCUUACGAUUGUAAGUCGCCCUGGAUAAGGGCGUCUGCUCAGAAAUAAAUAAUAAUAAUAAUAAUAAUAAUAUUGACUGCCCAGUCACUGACCACCUUCCGGCGCCUCCUCAAGACACACCUCUUCAGACAGCACCUCUUUUUCUUUCUGGACACUAUUUCACUUUGCCUUAAUGCACUUUAACUUACCCUUAUCUGCUCCCUAUUUUACUGCAUUUAAUCCUGUACAUUACAGAGUACUUUACUGUAAUCUGCCACAAGUGUUAUUCAAUCUGUAGUUUUUUGCAUUUCAUCACUGACACUGUUAUCUCCUCUGAUAUUGAAUUGUAUUACGUCUUACAUUUGUACUUACUAGAACUGAAGUCAUUGUAGUUUGUAUCUUGCUCUUAAUUGUAUUAAUAAUUGUACUGUGUGAUUCUUAAAAAUGUAUUUUUCGUAUACGACUAGAAGUCGCCCUGGAUAAGGGGGGCUUUGCUAAGAUGUAAAUAAUAAUAUUGCUGAAUACGCUCCUGCGAUUUAAAAAAAUUAAUACGUCUCCCAGGGCAUUGCUAGCCUGUACUGCUAGUUACCGUGUUACAAUAACUCCCCAGAGUAAUGCGUGUUUCAGAUUGGAAAUAUGCGAUCUUGGGCACAGUAGCCCACUUCAGUUGUAUUGUGUAUAUGCGGUCCUGGUCCUUGUUUGAUGAAUUGCUUUAAUGUAUCUUGU